AGUGAACGCUGGCGGCGUGCUUAACACAUGCAAGUCGAACGAGAAACGGAUUUAGCUUGCUAAAUUGCAGUCUAAGUGGCGCACUGGUGAGCAAUGUAUAGAUAAUAUGCCUUUUACUAAGGGAUAACAGUUGGAAACGGCUGCUAAUACCUUAUAUGCCUUUAAUACAUAAGUAUGCAAGGGAAAGAUUUAUUGGUAAAAGAUUAGGUUGUAUUGUAUCAGUUAGUUGGUGAGGUAAUGGCUCACCAAGACUAUGACGCAUAACUGGUUUGAGAGGAGGAUCAGUCACACUGGAACUGAGACACGGUCCAGACUCCUACGGGAGGCAGCAGUGGGGAAUAUUGCACAAUGGGGGAAACCCUGAUGCAGCAACGGCGCGUGGAGGAUGACACAUUUCGGUGCGUAAACUCCUUUUAUAUAGGAAGAUAAUGACGGUACUAUAUGAAUAAGCACCGGCUAACUCCGUGCCAGCCGCCGCCGUAA
rnacentral:rRNA from 1 species